ACACACACACAUACACACAGAAUAAGAGAGUAGAAAGAAGGAUGGCUUCAAACAAAAUUAAAUUUGUGAUCAUGUUCCUAGCCAUUAUCAGCAUCCUCACCCUUCCUAUGAUCAAUGCCAGAGAGCUCUCAACAGCAACACAAAGUGAUGAUCAAGUGAAAUAUGAUACUGUUGGAGUUACUGAUCAGGUUGCUGCUUUCUGAUGCUGUUUGUUACCGUUUUAGGGGCCGUAGGAUUUGCUUUUCACCCACGUCAUCUCCCACUCCAUAAACAUAGAAAUUCUAGUCUACAUUGUAUGCAUGGGUGUAUCGCAUUAAAAUUAUUAAGUAUGUGUGUUAACUGUGAGAUAAUAAAUAUAAGUGAUUCAGAUAAACUUUGUUUA